GUGGAUGAGAAGUUGCAGCCUGUAAAUUCACCUUAAUGUCUUGUCUACUAAAUGAUGUUAACGAUGGCGGUGGAGGUGGUGGCGGAGGUGGUACGGUGGAUCCCUUUCCAACCACAGAAGAUGGUGUUGCAAGUGGCGUUAACGGUCCAAAAUAAUGUGAAGAGUCGCCUAAAGCACGUGGUGGUGGUGGUGGUGGCGGAGGAGGAGGAGGGAGAGGAGGAGACUGUGGGGGAGGCUGUAGCAAUUGCUCUGACCUCUGUUCUUGUGCCUGAGCAGCUAGCUUAAGAGAUGUCUCUUUAACUGAUAGUGGUGGUGGUGGACAUUUUGCACCAAUUUCUGAU
rnacentral:lncRNA from 1 species